GACGAACGCUGGCGGCGUGCCUAAUACAUGCAAGUAGAACGCAGUUGCGAACGGGUGAGUAACGCGAAUGUAACUGCCUCAUAGCGGGGGAUAACUAUUGGAGACGCUAGAUACUACCCCAUACUUUGAGAUGGACCUGCGUUGUAUUAGCUAGUUGGUGAGGUAAAGGUCCACCAAGGAGACGAUACAUAGCCGGCCUUAGAGGGUGAUUGGGCAAACUGGGACUUAGACACGGACCAGACUGCUAAGGGAGGCAGCAGGAGGGAAUCUGCGGAAAUGGAGUGAAGUCUGACCGAGUAACGCCGCGGGAUUGAAGAAGGUUUUCGGGUUGUAAAGCUCUGUUGUUAGAGAAGCGGUAACUAACCAGAAAGGGACGGCUAACUACGUGCCAGCAGCCGCGGUAAUAC
rnacentral:rRNA from 1 species